UCUUUGAGGGUUGAUAUGGGGGUGAUAGUAGGAGUAAGUGGAAAUACUAAAAAUUGCGAUAAUUGUGUAAAUCUGGUGGAAAAGAUCAAGGCAAUCGAAUGUAAUUGUUCCGAUUUGCGGCAGGGGAUUGAACAGGAGAGAAAUGAGCUUGAAGGUAAGUUUGAGGUGUUGAAGAGAAGGAAUCAAGAGUUGGAAGAGCAGAUUCGUCGAAUAGAGAGUAACGGCAGUAAUGAGGAGGAAGAGAGGGUUUUGCAAUGGAUGAUCGAGAACAGUGUACUCGAAUGCGAGAAAAAGAAGGCUGAAAGUGAUGUUGAGUACUGGAAAUCCAACUGUAACGAGCUACAGUUAACAGUGGCGGAAUUGGGAAAAAAGUUGGAUGCAAAUGCAGGAGAUACAGUUUCAACUAGAGUACAUGGAUUGCAAGAUGAAUGUGAUGAUUUAACGCAGAAAAUCCAUCUGCAAGUAGUUGAUGAAAUGCAAAACAAGGAUG
rnacentral:misc_RNA from 1 species